rnacentral:rRNA from 1 species
UGGGGAAUAUUGCACAAUGGGCGCAAGCCUGAUGCAGCCAUGCCGCGUGUGUGAAGAAGGCCUUCGGGUUGUAAAGCACUUUCAGCGAGGAGGAAGGUGGUGAGCUUAAUACGCUCAUCAAUUGACGUUACUCGCAGAAGAAGCACCGGCUAACUCCGUGCCAGCAGCCGCGGUAAUACGGAGGGUGCAAGCGUUAAUCGGAAUUACUGGGCGUAAAGCGCACGCAGGCGGUUUGUUAAGUCAGAUGUGAAAUCCCCGGGCUCAACCUGGGAACUGCAUUUGAAACUGGCAAGCUAGAGUCUCGUAGAGGGGGGUAGAAUUCCAGGUGUAGCGGUGAAAUGCGUAGAGAUCUGGAGGAAUACCGGUGGCGAAGGCGGCCCCCUGGACGAAGACUGACGCUCAGGUGCGAAAGCGUGGGGAGCAAACAGGAUUAGAUACCCCUGGUAGUCCACGCUGUAAAACGAUGUCGAUUUUGGAGGUUGUGCCCUUGAGGCGUGGCUUCCGGAGCUAACGCGUUAAAUCGACCGCCUGGGGAGUACGGCCGCAAGGUUAAAACU